UUGUCAAAAUCAGUGUGAUGCCUCUAU
rnacentral:piRNA from 1 species